rnacentral:SRP_RNA from 1 species
GGCAAGGGCAAUAUUGCUCUUGUGAAUCGUGUCAGAUUCGGAAGAAAGCAGCACUAAGCAGGUUGCGGUAUGUGCCCUUAAAUUG